GAUGAAGAACGUAGCGAAAUGCGAUAAGUAGUGUGAAUUGCAGAAUUCAGUGAAUCAUCGAAUCUUUGAACGCACAUUGCGCCCGCCAGUAUUCUGGCGGGCAUGCCUGUCCGAGCGUCAUUUCAACCAUCAAGCCCCGGGCUUGUGUUGGGGACCUGCGUCCGACGCAGGCCCCGAAAACCAGUGGCGGGCUCGCUGUCCACACCGAGCGUAGUAGCUAACCUCGCUCCGGAGUGGCGCGGGCGCCUGCCGUAAAACCCCCCCAAUUUUACAAGGUUGACCUCGGAUCAGGUAGGAAUACCCGCUGAACUUAAGCAUAUCAAUAAGCGGAGGA
rnacentral:misc_RNA from 1 species